AUUGAACGCUGGCGGCAGGCCUAACACAUGCAAGUCGAGCGGAUGACGGGAGCUUGCUCCUGGAUUCAGCGGCGGACGGGUGAGUAAUGCCUAGGAAUCUGCCUGGUAGUGGGGGACAACGUGUCGAAAGGAACGCUAAUACCGCAUACGUCCUACGGGAGAAAGCAGGGGACCUUCGGGCCUUGCGCUAUCAGAUGAGCCUAGGUCGGAUUAGCUAGUUGGUGAGGUAAUGGCUCACCAAGGCGACGAUCCGUAACUGGUCUGAGAGGAUGAUCAGUCACACUGGAACUGAGACACGGUCCAGACUCCUACGGGAGGCAGCAGUGGGGAAUAUUGGACAAUGGGCGAAAGCCUGAUCCAGCCAUGCCGCGUGUGUGAAGAAGGUCUUCGGAUUGUAAAGCACUUUAAGUUGGGAGGAAGGGCAGUAAGCGAAUACCUUGCUGUUUUGGCGUUACCGACAGAAUAAGCACCGGCUAACUCUGUGCCAGCAGCCGCGGUAACAC
rnacentral:rRNA from 1 species